UGAGGAAUAUUGGUCAAUGGGCGCUAGCCUGAACCAGCCAAGUAGCGUGCAGGACGACGGCCCUAUGGGUUGUAAACUGCUUUUAUGCGGGGAUAAAGUCACCCACGUGUGGGUGUUUGCAGGUAUCGCAUGAAUAAGGACCGGCUAAUUCCGUGCCAGCAGCCGCGGUAAUACGGAAGGUCCGUGCGUUAUCCGGAUUUAUUGGGUUUAAAGGGAGUGUAGGCGGCCUGUUAAGCGUGUUGUGAAAUGUAGAUGCUCAACAUCUGAACUGCAGCGCGAACUGGCUGGCUUGAGUACACGCAACGUGGGCGGAAUUCAUGGUGUAGCGGUGAAAUGCUUAGAUAUCAUGAGGAACUCCUAUUGCGAAGGCAGCUCACGGGAGUGUCACUGACGCUUAAGCUCGAAGGUGCGGGUAUCAAACAGG
rnacentral:rRNA from 1 species